CAGGUGAGGAAAAUUUUCCAACCAAUCCAUUUGAAUGAAUACCAGGUCAUCCCAAAGCCACACCUGUCUCGUGGGUGGGGCAGCACGUGGGGUAGACCAUCGAGCCCCUCUAUUCCCAGCGUAAAGCCAGGUAGCCAGAGCGUGCAAGGGAAAGAGACAGGCAGGAGAGACCCCUCCUAAGACGCAGGAUCUGCCUGUAAACGCCCAAAGUCCUGAGGUUUAAGAGGAAUCGUGCCCUUCCCAGGCCCGCGACCUCCGGUGCCCAAGGCCUCAAGCGGUCACAGCUAGGAGGGCGGAAGCUCCC
rnacentral:lncRNA from 1 species